rnacentral:lncRNA from 1 species
GAGGUUGUCUACUAAAAGUUGGAGUUUGUACGGGUGGGUGUGCCGGUUCAUUACCUAAGUUAUGAGCAGGACCAGUAGGUGUAUCAUCUAAAUCUACUGGAGCUUGAGUUUCAUCAUCAUCAUCAUCAUCCUCAUUUCCCUCUAAGAUAGGUGCAUUAGGAUAAAGAGCAUUCAUAAUAUCAUCGUCUAUUCUAUCACCAACUGCUACA